rnacentral:lncRNA from 1 species
AUCAAAUAUAUAUAAUGGUGUUGAGAAAUCCAGAUAACUUCAGUUCCUUUGGCUCAAGUUGUCCAAGACCGUGGACAGGGCUAAUCGAUUAGGUUUGAGUACUCUGCAGAGUUUUGCACACGUUCCCCACAAGAUUUGAUCGCCUCCGUGUAUGUCCUCGCACUUCAGGGUGUUUGAAGACCGGAUGAUCAAAACAUGGUCUUUCAAC